UACAGAGGUCUCAAGCGUUGUUCGGAUUCAUUGGGCGUAAAGGGUGCGUAGGCGGCGCGGUAAGUCGGGUGUGAAAGUCCAGGGCUCAACCCUGGGAUGCCGGUGGAUACUGUCGGGCUCGAGUCCGGAAGAGGAGUGUGGAAUUCCUGGUGUAGCGGUGAAAUGCGCAGAUAUCAGGAGGAACACCAAUGGCGAAGGCAGCACUCUGGGACGUGACUGACGCUGAGACGCGAAAGCGUGGGGAGCAAACAGG
rnacentral:rRNA from 1 species